AUUGAACGCUGGCGGAAUGCUUUACACAUGCAAGUCGAACGGCAGCACGGACUUCGGUCUGGUGGCGAGUGGCGAACGGGUGAGUAAUACAUCGGAACGUGCCCAGUCGUGGGGGAUAACGUAGCGAAAGCUACGCUAAUACCGCAUACGAUCUAAGGAUGAAAGCGGGGGACCGUAAGGCCUCGCGCGAGUGGAGCGGCCGAUGGCAGAUUAGGUAGUUGGUGGGGUAAAGGCUCACCAAGCCGACGAUCUGUAGCUGGUCUGAGAGGACGACCAGCCACACUGGGACUGAGACACGGCCCAGACUCCUACGGGAGGCGGCAGUGGGGAAUUUUGGACAAUGGGCGCAAGCCUGAUCCAGCCAUUCCGCGUGCAGGAUGAAGGCCCUCGGGUUGUAAACUGCUUUUGUACGGAACGAAAAGGCUCUGGUUAAUACCUGGGGCUCAUGACGGUACCGUAAGAAUAAGCACCGGCUAACUACGUGCCAGCCGCCGCGGUAA
rnacentral:rRNA from 1 species